AAAAGUGACUUGAUCCGGAUACCAUUAUGAUAUCGACAGAUUGAGAGUUCUUUCCUGAUUCCGUGUUGGUGUGAUACAGCUGAUGAUGGGACAAUCUGUUUAGUUUAUUCCAAUAAUAGAUAAUAUUUUAGCCUACUAAGUAGUGAUUGUAUAAUUUUCUCUAGAGAAUUUCUUAGAGGGACAAACGGUGUUUAGGCGCAUGAAUUAAAGCAAUAACAGGUCCGUGAUGACCUUUCACGUACAAG
rnacentral:ncRNA from 1 species